UACGAAGGGGGCUAGCGUUGCUCGGAAUCACUGGGCGUAAAGGGUGCGUAGGCGGGUUUUUAAGUCAGGUGUGAAAUCCUGGAGCUCAACUCCAGAACUGCCUUUGAUACUGAAGAGCUUGAGUCCGGGAGAGGUGAGUGGAACUGCGAGUGUAGAGGUGAAAUUCGUAGAUAUUCGCAAGAACACCAGUGGCGAAGGCGGCUCACUGGCCCGGUACUGACGCUGAGGCACGAAAGCGUGGGGAGCAAACAGG
rnacentral:rRNA from 1 species